GAUUAUGCUCAGGAUGAACGCUAGCGGCAGGCUUAACACAUGCAAGUCGAGGGGCAACGCGAGUAGCAAUACUUGGCGGCGACCGGCGCAAGGGUGCGUAACGCGUGAGCAACAUGCCCGUAUCAGGGGGAUAAUCCAGGGAAACUUGGUCUAAUACCCCAUAGUAAUUUUGUAAGGCAUCUUAUAAGAUUUAAAGCUUUGGUGGAUACGGAUUGGCUCGCGUGACAUUAGCUGGAUGGUAAGGUAACGGCUUACCAUGGCUAUGAUGUCUAGGGGUUCUGAGAGGAAGGUCCCCCACACUGGAACUGAGACACGGUCCAGACUCCUACGGGAGGCAGCAGUGAGGAAUAUUGGAACAAUGGAUGGAAAUCUGAUCCAGCCAUGCCGCGUGAAGGAAGAAGGUCCUAUGGAUUGUAAACUUCUUUUGUAUGGGAGCAAUAAGGCCUACGAGUAGGUUGAUGAGAGUACCAUACGAAUAAGCACCGGCUAACUCCGUGCCAGCCGCGGC
rnacentral:rRNA from 1 species